UACGUAGGGAGCAAGCGUUGUCCGGAAUCAUUGGGCGUAAAGCGCGCGUAGGUGGCUUCGUAAGUCCGUUGUGAAAGUCAAAGGCUCAACCUUUGAAAGCCGAUGGAUACUGCGGAGCUAGAGUACGGAAGAGGCGAGUGGAAUUCCUGGUGUAGCGGUGGAAUGCGCAGAUAUCAGGAGGAACACCGGUGGCGAAGGCGGGUCUCUGGGCAACAACUGACGCUGAGGAGCGAAAGCGUGGGGAGCGAACAGG
rnacentral:rRNA from 1 species